rnacentral:rRNA from 1 species
GAGCACGUAGGUGGGUUUGUAAGUCAGAUGUGAAAGCCUUCUGUUCAACGGAAGAAUUGCAUCUGAAACUACGAAUCUUGAGUGUAGGAGGGGAGAAUGGAACUUCUGGUGGAGCGGUGAAAUGCGUAGAUAUCAGAAGGAACGCCGGCGGCGAAAGCGAUUCUCUGGCCUAUUACUGACACUCAGUGUGCGAAAGCUAGGGGAGCAAACGGGAUUAGAUACCCCGGUAGUCCUAGCCGUAAACGAUGGGCACUAAGUAGAGGGAAUUACCGAUAUUCUCUCUGCCGUAGCUAACGCAUUAAGUGCCCCGCCUGGGGAGUACGGCCGCAAGGCUAAAACUCAAAAGAAUUGACGGGGGCUCGCACAAGCGGUGGAGCAUGUGGCUUAAUUCGAUGCAACGCGAAAAACCUUACCGGGGCUUGACAUAGUAGAAGUAGGAACCCAAAAGGGUAACGAACGGUAUCCAGUCCGUAGCUAUUACAGGUGUUGCAUGGCUGUCGUCAGCUCGUGUCGUGAGACGUUGGGUUAAGUCCCCUAACGAGCGAAACCCUUGUUUUUAGUUACCAGCGGGUCAUGCCGGGUACUCUAGAAAGACUGCCGUCGUCAAGACGGAGGAAGGUGGGGAUGACGUCAAGUCAUCAUGGCCCUUAUGCCCCGGGCUGCACACGUGCUACAAUGGUCGGUACAAACGGAAGCGAAGCCGAGAGGUGAAGCGAAUCC